GCCCCGAUAGCUCAGUGGAUAGAGCGUUCGCCUCCGGAGCGAAAGGCCGCAGGUUCGAAUCCUGUUCGGGGCA
rfam:Varibaculum cambriense DORA_20 Q618_VCMC00001, whole genome shotgun sequence.